rnacentral:rRNA from 1 species
UACGUAGGGGGCAAGCGUUGUCCGGAAUCAUUGGGCGUAAAGCGCGUGUAGGCGGUCCGGUAAGUCCGCUGUGAAAGUCGGGGGCUCAACCCUCGGAUGCCGGUGGAUACUGUCGGGCUUGAGUACGGAAGAGGCGAGUGGAAUUCCUGGUGUAGCGGUGAAAUGCGCAGAUAUCAGGAGGAACACCAAUUGCGAAGGCAGCUCCGCUGGGACGUUACUGACGCUGAGACGCGAAAGCGUGGGGAGCAAACAGG